ensembl:rRNA 5S_rRNA 5S ribosomal RNA
GCUUACGGCCAUACCAGCCUGAAUACGCCCGAUCUCGGAAGCUAAGCAGGGUCGGGCCUGGUUAGUACUUGGAUGGGAGACCGCCUGGGAAUACCAGGUGCUGUAAGCG